rnacentral:rRNA from 1 species
CCUACGGGUGGCAGCAGUAGGGAAUAUUGCUCAAUGGGGGAAACCCUGAAGCAGCAACGCCGCGUGGAGGAUGAAGGUUUUCGGAUUGUAAACUCCUUUUGUUAGAGAAGAUAAUGACGGUAUCUAACGAAUAAGCACCGGCUAACUCCGUGCCAGCAGCCGCGGUAAUACGGAGGGUGCAAGCGUUACUCGGAAUCACUGGGCGUAAAGAGGGCAUAGGCGGGAUAGCAAGUCAGAUGUGAAAGCCUAUGGCUUAACCAUAGAACUGCAUUUGAAACUGUUAUUCUAGAGUAUGGGAGAGGUAGGUGGAAUUCUUGGUGUAGGGGUAAAAUCCGUAGAGAUCAAGAGGAAUACUCAUUGCGAAGGCGACCUGCUAGAACAUAACUGACGCUGAUGCGCGAAAGCGUGGGGAGCAAACAGGAUUAGAUACCCGAGUAGUC